ACAAAUGCCCAUUUUUCCAAAAUAAUGAGCAUUGAGGCAAAGAGGGAACACCACACAAACCUUUGUUACCCGAAAGGUCAAUAGUCCCACCAUGCACACCAAUUGAAUAAAGCUCCUCUUGGACUGGUCCUACCAACAAGUUAUUAUUCAAUAACACAAGCUGCAGACUUGAAGAUGCUAGACUUUCUGGUAUAGGUCCAGAGAACUGAUUGUUUGAUAAAUCCAGCUGCACAAGUGAUUUAUGACCUAGUCCUGAUGGAAGUGUUCCUACUAAUGAAUUAGAACUCAAAUUCA
rnacentral:misc_RNA from 1 species